rnacentral:rRNA from 1 species
AACGAACGCUGGCGGCAUGCCUAACACAUGCAAGUCGAACGAAGCCUUCGGGCUUAGUGGCGCACGGGUGCGUAACGCGUGGGAAUCUGCCCUUGGGUUCGGAAUAACAGUUAGAAAUGACUGCUAAUACCGAAUGAUGUCUUCGGACCAAAGAUUUAUCGCCCAAGGAUGAGCCCGCGUCGGAUUAGCUAGUUGGUGAGGUAAAGGCUCACCAAGGCGACGAUCCGUAGCUGGUCUGAGAGAAUGAUCAGCCACACUGGGACUGAGACACGGCCCAGACUCCUACGGGAGGCAGCAGUGGGGAAUAUUGGACAAUGGGCGAAAGCCUGAUCCAGCCAUGCCGCGUGAGUGAUGAAGGCCUUAGGGUUGUAAAGCUCUUUCACCCACGACGAUGAUGACGGUAGUGGGAGAAGAAGCCCCGGCUAACUUCGUGCCAGCAGCCGCGGUAAU